rnacentral:rRNA from 1 species
UUCCUGGACAACAUAGGAGUACGGUGACGUCAACGCGGGUAUUUGUCAGGUGUUGGAAGGAGGGGAAAACUCUUUCCUUUUAACAGAUGGACGCCUCUGGAACUGUGUGAAACAGAGAUAGAGGCAGACACUGGAAUAACUACCUUCUAUGGGUAGUCCUAAGCCAGCACUUGACCUAUGAAAAAUAUCUGCGUCUUAUGAUGUAGCCGUACCAAUAGCCGCAUCAGGUCUCCGAGACGUAAAGUCUUUGGUUCAAUGGAUGAAUGUAAGCAAGGGAAGUCGACAAGUUCGAUCCGUAACUUCGGGAAAAGGAUUGGCUUCGUGGACUUAGUGAGGCACAACUACAUAUGCGAGGAAUGUGACUCUUACGAGUUGCCCCUCUGCAUGUGCUAGUAACCUCACUAAACAAUACAUGAAACUGACGCGCAAACGAGGAAUCUGACUGUUUAAUCGAAACGUAGCAUCAUGCAGCGUGGUGUGGACAUGAUGUGAUUUCUGCUCAGUGCUUUGAAAGUUAAAGUUGAGCAACCGACAGAAGCGCAGGUCAACAGCGGGAGUAACUAUGACUCUCUUAAGGUAGCCAAAUGCCUCGUCAUCUAAUUAGUGACGUGCAUGAAUGGAGCAACGAGAUUCCUACUGUCCCUGUUUACUAUUCAGCGAAACCACAGCCAAGGGAACGGGCUUGGUACAAACAGCGGGGAAAGAAGACCCUGUUGAGCUUGACUCUAGUCUGGAUCGGUUUGGCGACUUGUUAGGUGUAGAAUAGGUGGGAGAAUUUCGCCAAUGAAAUACCACUACUAACACAGUUUCUGAACCCACGAUGUUAGUGCACCAUCAAAAUGCAUGUACAUCGGCAAAUUCAGAUCGGGAGUUUGGCUGGGGCGGCAUAUCUGUUAAAAGAUAACGCAGGUGUCCUAAGACGAGCUCAGGCAGAUCAGAAAUCUGCCGUAGACUGACAGGAGAAAAACUCGCUUGAUUGUAGUCUCCAGUACGGACUACAAAUGCUAACGCAUGGCCUAUCGAUCCUUACGCGUUGACUUUUUCAGCUAGAGGUGUCAGAAAAGUUACCACAGGGAUAACUGAUUCGUGGCGACCAAGAGUUCAUAUCGACGUCGCUUUUUGAUCAUUCGAUCUCGGCUCUUCCUAUCAUUGUGAAGCAGCAUUCACCAAGUGUCAGAUUGUUCAUCCGCUAAUAGGGAACGUGAUGUGGGUUU